ACCAAAAAGCCAACAGUCGACCAAAAGUCAACAGUUGUAAAAAGGUGUACUUUCUUAUGGACAGUUGAAUAUGUACCACAAUGCCUUUGAAAUAUUCCAUGUUAUGAAUCAAACCAGAUGAAUACCAACCAAGAAACAUAUUAGGACCAUGCAAAGCUUUGUAUGAAUCUCAAUCACCAAAUCAAGACCAUGAAUAAGCCCAUGGACCAUCCAUAAUAGUCCAGAUGAAUCAGAUGAAACCCCAAUCUUUAGUAUAUUCCCCACUAAUGAUGAUGAUGAUAUAGUCAGAAAGUAGGGUUUCCACCCCCUUAAAUAAGCCACAUGAUUCAUGACCUUCCAAGAUCAAUGGCUAAGGAUUUGAUGAAUCCCAAGUCCAAAAGUCAACCAAGCAAGGUUGAACACCAAUUAUCCCUGAUUAGGGUUCUAAACCAAGCACAAAACUCCUCAAAUACAUAUAAAGCUAUGGACCCACAUAUAGGGUUCAGAAGCCAAGUCAAUGCACAAAAGGUUAAGCAACAAGAUCCCAAAGGAGCAUAGCCAAGAAUUGGUGUUAGGAUGCACAGAUGAAUGUCAUGAUAGGUUUCAAGAGUCAAGGUCCCAAAUAAUCAAGCAAUUAGGGUUUCAACUCAUAUUACGAGGAAAACUACAGUCCUUGAAUCUAUGAUACUUGUUAGCAAAUGCUUAAUCAUGAAUGAAUGAUGAAUACGAAUGAGGUACUGAUGAGCAUAGAUGGGUCUUAAGUUAUAGGUUAGAUAAAAAGCAAAAGGGGAGGGCAAAUUUUGGGGUACAACAUCCAUUGGUCAACAUCUUGACCUGGAAAAAAUCUCUCAAUUAUAUCCUUCCAAUAUAUAGAUGAUCCAGAUGUCAUGAUAGAUGUAUUGGUUUAUUGAAUGAGGGGCGGAAUAAGGGUUUGACACACGUACCUCGAAUCAAGUUAUCUGAGGCAAUAGCCUCAGAUCCAGACAACGCAAAAACCUUCCCUCCGGACUGAGCCUUCUUAGGUUUCUCACAUUGGGUACUAAUAUAACCUCGCUCUCCACAGUUAAACCAUGUUAGGUUAUUACUCCUACAAUCCGCAACGCAAUGACAUGGCUUCCCACAUUUGAAGCAGUUCAUAGUUGUGCUCUUACACUCAGGAGCACAAUGUACAUACUCACCAUACAUAAGCAUCUCACAUAAGUAGGAGUCUCUCCCUCACUUAGCUUCUUCUCAUCUAGGACCCGUUGUAUCCCUUUAUCAGCUGGAGUACUAUAUGACUUUCCACAAUUUUGACUCUUCCCUUUCCUCUCACAAAUACUCUUGUAGUACAGAAAAGCAACGAAUCUCAUGAUACCUGAUACAUCGUUUAAUCUCGAGAAACAACCCUCUCUCAAACUUGAUGCACUUCGAACCCUCUGCAGCAACACUAUUAUAAUGCAGACAAAACAUCACUAGCUCCUCAAACUUUGCAGCAUACUCUACCAUCGUCGAAUUUCCUUGCUUCAUCUCAAGGGAAUUCAAUCUCCUUCUUGGUACAUACAUCCUUUAGAAAGUACUUCUCUAGAAACUGCGCUUUGACACAACCCAAGUAGUCUUAGUACCCACCACCUCUAGCCUCUAACGUGCAUUAUCCCACCAAUCUUCAGCUUCCUCAUACACAAUGUGAGUACCAAAUAAUACCUUAUGCUUUUCAGUAUGGGUCAUCACCUAAAAAAUCUUUUCAAUCUCUUUCACCCAUGCACGAGCACCCUCCGUGUCAUACCUACCCUUGAACGUCGGCGGGUUAUUCCUCUAAAAAUUUCCCAAUCCACGAAACCUAUCACCGGUCUGAUUCUGUUGUCCAUGUAGUGCCUGAGCACUGACUCUGAAGCAUAAUCAAUUGCGCAAUCGUUUCUUCUAGCCAUUUUGCACACCAUCAAACAAACAUUAGAAGAAACAAUGCAUCGAAAGUGUACACACAUGUGUCUCACACUAGGGAACAAUUAACAGGUCAAAAACAUGGCUAGAUGGAUCGGCCUGCUCUGAUACCACUGUGUAAUUCCCUACUUCUCGACUCGAAAAUUAAAUAAUAAAGCAUAAAUAAAACAUGAAUAUCCACCAAAUAGGAUGCGACUCAAAACCAUUAAUACAAUUUGAAUCACAUAAUGAAGAAACACAACUCGUUUAAUAAGUAGGGGAAUUACAAGAAAAACAUUUGGCAUAAAACCCUUAGUAGCAUUAUUAGUUUUAAAAAUGAUUCAUCUCAGAAUGAAAUCAGACAGAAAGAUACGCUACAUAAAUAAAUAUCAGACAUCAUGUUCCCCUUGUGUUACGUAUCAGAGCGACUCCCACUAUAGAUUCGAACGAAAGACAACUAAGAUGCACAACACCGUCCUCACCUUCAAGCUCCUACUCAGGUAUCUGAUUAUCUACGCUCCAGAGGAGACUAGACGGAAUAACAUAAAAAAUGGUGAGAAUGCAUUCACAUAAUAAACAGUGCAUAAAUAUUCAUGAUAGAUUCACACAUCUACACAAUCAUCCACAUAAUCAAAAACACACAACCAUCAAGUAUUCACAAUCUGACACACAUCAUAAUCAUACAAUCACAAACAUGCAAAAUAAUGCAAUACUGACUUGACUCAUGCUCGUCAUGUUCCCCACUUUGAACCUGACCCACAACUUAACUCUAUAUACCUGCGGUAUUGACUCAAGGUUUGGUUCUUCAUAUGAACCGGGUCCCAGUCUCUACGAACCUUGAGCCCCCACUCUGAGCUCCAAGCCCCCACUCAAGGCUUGGGACAAGCCAUUAUUCCCCCACUAUAAACUAGCAAACAUGCCUUUUUCACAAUAAUGAUACACAAGAUGAAUGUCAUACAAAGUGCAGUACAGUAUCACUCUGACUAUACAUAAUCGCUUGACAAUAUCAAAUGCAAAACAUCCCCACUCUGACUGUAAUUAAAAAUAUUUUUUCAUUGCAUCGAUAAAAUAGUUCGUAUCUCAUAUCACACGUCUCAUUCAACAAAAUAAGUAUCAUAUCAUGCUUUCACUUUUAUCACACAGUUGCUUAAUUACACAUAAGUCACAUAUAUGCAUAAUAUUACACAAUCAAUCACAUGAGUUUUGUUAAUUAACUCGUACUCAUCACAAAACACCAAACAAUAGCCAAAGCUUAACUUCCCGACAAAACAACCCUCAAAACCAAACUUAGCAGGUCAUAACACGGAUUUUGACUCGAUGAAAGGUAGCCUGUCACCAGGAUGACGCACGUCAUCCUUCAGCAUGUCACGCAUGUGAUAACCUGGCAAGGCAUUUCCACUUGGAGACCAUGACGGUGUCCCCAUCAGAUGUCUGAUGCCCGUUAGCGCUUCACAGGGCAUGAUGCCCAGGGUGUCAUAUGGGUGACGCCCGUCACCUUUCUAUUAGAAGCGGAAUUUCGUUUUACUAUGGUAGAACCUACGAAAUACACUCAAAGUCACUCUAAUUAAUUCCAAACCCCUCCAAACAGUGCAUAAACAUUACUCACAUGAUUCCCACACAAAAGCGUAUUAAUUCCUAUGAAUCUAACAUGUUAUUUCAAUGAUUUAACCACAAAAAUCCAUAAUUUAUUCAAGCUUUAGAAACCCCAAUUUUAUAACAAAACUAAUGUUUAUGAACACAUAGCAUACAACACGAUUACCCAAAUUACAGUACACAAAUUUGCAAGGAAUCACAUCAUAAAAACAGAAUUGAAAUCAUGUUAUUCAUCAAAACACACAAUCAACACAAAGAGAGAAAUUUCUAUUGGAGGUUAAGGGAAACCUCUCUACCCUUUCAUGAAUUAAGCAUCCAUAGAUGAAAAAUCCCUCCUACCUUGUAAGUCCAGAAAAUUCAUCAAUUCCACCUUCAAUUGAUCUCUCCUCUUAUGCCCUAACACUCUCCCUUCCAAGCUUUUCUCUCGUUUUCUCUUAUUUUCACGUACGGGUGAAAAUAGCUCUAAAAACCUAAUUUUGGUCUAACUUUUAAAAUAUAUAUAAUAUUUUAUUUAGUUCUUUAAAUUACACUUUUCGCCCAACUCAAUUUCAAUUUUACUACACUUACCACUAAACUCUUCCAAUUCCCAAAAUUGGCAUAGUUUUACAUAUUCUCUCUAAUUUUUAAUUAAAUAACUUAAUUAAUUCUCACUAACCCAAGUAAUUAACAGAAGACACCACAAAUAACGUCAUCGACCAAACAUAUUAUAUAUUCACAAAAAUAAUCAUUUAAAUCAAAUACUCAAUUAAAUUAAAUAAAUAAUUAAAUAAGUGAAUAAUUAAAUCAGGGUGUUACACUUCUUGAAGGUGGCAAGAAACACAAGAAACUAGGGUUUGAAUUGGAUUUCUAAAAAUGAAAGAUUUUUCAAAACCAAUAUAAUCAAACAAUAACACGAACAAAAAAAAUAACAAGGUUAUUUUUAUACUGGUUCACUAUUAACGAAGCUACUUUCAGUCCACCCUACCAAUGUGAUUUUUCCAUCUCAACAAGGACUCAAUCCACUCUAAUUGAAACAGAUCACAGACACCAUAAAGAUAAACUAUCUUAUUCUUCUUGAGUCUAUAUGACUAAAACCUAGUCACUCAAGGAAACCACUGAAAUAAUUUGAGAUUUACAAGACUGUGUUUACAAUAUUGCUUCUAAGAAAACAGAUUAAUACAAGUUAAAUACAAUGAAUUUCUCACACAAUAACAGGCAAAAACUCUAUGUGUGUUUACAAAAACUAAACACAAAAAAUCUAUACUUCAGCAAAAGCGUGUGUAUGAGAAAUAACGUGAGCGUUAGCAUUAGUAACUUCUUCCAAUUUUCCAAGUUUCCUUUAGAUAGGCAAUUAAAAGAUUCAUUGGAUGGUAGAUUUGGAAUAGCAAAUUACAAUUGUCUCUUUGUAUAACUGUUUGCAUGUAGGAGACAAAAUUGUAUAAUAGUAAUGUCCUUAGCCCACAAAAUCAACAUAGUGGAGGGAAGGGUGAUCUUGUACUGUGUACUAUUUUCUUGACACAAAACAUUUUGUUCUUAUCUUUUAAUAUUCAGAGGCUUCUGAUUAAAUGAUGUUGAAGCAUGCUUAGAAGGAUCAAGAGACUGGUUGAGAGUAUCUUCAGAACCUCGGUCUUCAGAGUCUUUACAUAGUUCCUCAGAACCUGGUCUUCAGAGUCUUCAGAUCUUGCUCUUUAGAAUCUUCUGAACUUGAGCACAUAAUCUUGAAAACAGAAAAUCCUUCAGAGGCUCUUCAAUCAGAGUCAUAGUCAGAAGCUUUAGCAUAAAUAUUCAAAGAAAUAAUGCAUUGUUAUCAUCAAACCUAAAGGCCAGAUGUAGAAACAGAUCUUGUUGUUACAUUUCUCACCAUAACAAACAUGCCUUGACACACAAUAGUAAUUCCUCCUUUUGAACUAUUAUCCAACAGUCAUAAUAAUAAUGCAUACAUGUAUAUAAAUAGUCCCCCUUCUGAACUAUUUACCAUCAUAUUAACAAUAAAUAAUUAAUCGCCAUAUAUUCAUGCAAUUAAUCAUAACACUUCACACAAUUCCAAAUAGUACAUGAUAGCACCAAUUAUCACCAAAACAACAUAAUGUCACAUAAACCAACUCAAAACGACACAACUAUGCGUUGUCACGCUUGUUAAGCGAACAUAGCAACUCACUAAGGGAGCCCUCGUUGAGAGAUGAAUCUCUCGCUAAGCGAGACUCGCAGAAAAAUAGAACACUCACUCUGCCACGCUCGCUAAGUGAACACAAUAGCUCCCUAAAUAAAGUUCUUCCUCACUGAGCGAGAUCUCUCAUACCAGAAACAUCAAAACCACAAUUUUAAUCAUUUGUGCCUCAUCAAAGCUCUAAUUUCGACCCCAAUCGAUCCCAAAUGCACAAAAUUCAAUCAUACAUGUUAAUACAAUACUAAAAUACUCAAUUAGGAACAAAUUAGCAUAUAUUACACCAAUUUGAUUCAAAAUCAUCAUCACCUUCAACAAUUUCAAUCCAACUCAUAAGAACACAAAUUUUCAGAAUUUAAUCAUAUAGUUUCACAUGAAAUUAACAUGAAAUCAAUACACGAAUUUCACACAACAACAUCAAUCAAAACAUAAUUUGCAUGUAUUCAUAAUCAAUAAUUCACAUAUAUAAUCAACAAUGAAUAAAUAGGAGAAAACCUAGAGAGGAUUAAGGAGUCCUCACUACCCUUCAUCAAUUACACCAAUAUUUGAAGCAGUUUCCCCUCUUACAUUGGAUUUUCAGUAGCAACUCUAAACUUUGGCUAUGGUGAUACACUCAAACCCCUGUUCUCGCUUCACUCCCACUUUGCCUCUUUUCUCCAAAUAAUGCGUACUGGCUACUCUUAUGUCUUCUAAUCCCUUUUUAUUAAAAACCUAAUUUAAUCUUUUACUAAUUACACACUGGCCCGACUUAUCUUGUAACUCUCACCACUUCCCUUAUUUCUUUCUAUUUUCUAUUUUCCAUCCGAAACUUCUAUUUCUAUUUAAUUUUAAUUAAUUAAAUACAGCUAUUAAUUCUAAUGAUUUUCUAAUUAUUUUAACCAUUCUAUUAACCCACAAACACCCUCACUCUACCCCACCAUAUAUCACAUACACAUACAACUCAUAAUAUAUUUAAUUAAAACUGCACCACAUACUAAAUAAUUAAAUAAAAACACAAAUGAUUUGAUUAAAUAGAUUAAUCAAAUUUCAGGGUGUUACAACUCUCCCCCACUUAGAGAAUUUUUUCCAUAAAAAAUUACCUGAAAGAAACAGAGUCGGAUACGACUCUCUCAUCAGAAUCUCCAGCUCCCACGUCAUGAUGCCUCUAACAGGUCCUCUUCACACCACCUUUACCAUUGCAAGAUCCUUCCCUCUCAAGUGCUUUACUUUACAAUCCUAUACUCUCAAGGGAGAUGUCUCAAUAGUCAAGUUCUCUCUAACUUACACAUCGUCCACUUGAAUCACAGGAGACGGAUCAUGAAUAUACUUCCUCAACGUGUUCGCAGUUGAUUUUGGCGAACAACCUCUGGUUUUCCAAAAACUCGUCGAAUUGGGUUACUUGCAGGAUCAACCAUACAAAUCCUAGGACAUGUGCAAAUUUAAAUAACUUUGUAAAUCUCUAGAAAGACCUUUGUAUCCUUUAUUUGGUUUACUAAGUCUUUCAUGUCGAAAAAUAUUGACUAGAAGUGCGUAAGUAAAAGCAAAGUUAACAAGACUAAGAUAGAUGGCGAAAAAUAAAUAGCGAAGCAUAAAUUAUCGAAGAGUAAAUGCAAAGGGUAAAUGACUGAUAAAAGUAAAGGAACAUUGGUAAAGAACUUUGAAAUUUGUAAGAUAAAACUUUAAAGAAAUGGUGUUGUUCACACGUACAUGUUCCAGAUAUGACUCUUUUCUCUCACACGGGUACUUUGAGUAUUUUGUAGGAAUUUUGUACAAGUUUUUCACACACACUUUUUCUGAUAACAACUAUCCUAUUUAUAUACAAACAAAAUAACUGUUAUUAACGAAUAAAUCCUAAAACUAUGACAUUUGGCUCUUCUGUAUGACUUCCUUUCGCCAGGUGCUUCCACGCGUCUUCUGCCAAACGUCAUAACUCUUUUGAAUUUGAAUUUAUGCUUUACGUCGAAAUGAUGCGUCUCUUCAGACUUGUCGAAUUUGUGGAAAUACCAUAACAUCAUCUAUACUUGUCAAAGACGUCUUUUCAUUUGCAAACAUCUUCUCUUGUCGAAAUGUCGAACCAUUAAUCUGUCGAAGUGUCAAAAAACACUUAUCAACUAAACUGUUAAUUUCAUGGCAUCAUUUGUCGAAAGAACUAUUUUGCAUACUAAUCUCAUGGCGUCAAAAACGCAUGUAUACAAAUUGCCCCCCAACAAAGAUGUUUCGACUAUUUUGGAGAAACAGUCAUUUGUUGUCAACCAGUGUUUUGAUGCCAUGUCAUUUAAUUUCAUUAUUUCCAAGUUUUUUGUAAUCUCAAGUUCCCAUACGGAUUCAUCAUUACACUUUCUCCAAGAUGUCACGUCUAGCCCACGUUUAGACCUUACCUCCAUCAUUUCCUAACAUCAUGGCCUUUUUCAACUUUUUCUUCGACACUUUGUAUCCAGACGCAAAUUGAGCAAGGUCAUUCGCCUCUUGAUUCUCCACCCUGGGAAUGUGCCUAAAGGCCACAUUGUCGAAUUCCUUGAGAAGUCUAUUGGCUAUUACAAAGUACAUGAUUAAAUUUUCUUUCACGCACUUAUAUUCUUUGGUCAACUGCUUUAUCACCAGUUCAGAGUCACCCAUUAUUUCGACUCUUGUUGCCCCCAAUUUCAACAAUAUUUCAAGUCCAGCAAUCAAAGCUUCAUAUUCUGCUUCAUUAUUUGAACACCAGACUUUCAACUUUGUACUUGAAUUUGUUGGAAUUCUGUCAGGAGAAAUAAUCAACAUCCCAACACCAGUUUCAUUCUUAUGACUGGAACCGUCGAAAUACAAUUUCCAUGGUUCUAAUUCGACAUACUCUACAUUCUCAUCUAUAGAGUGGUCAGCUAUAAAAUCAGCAACCACUUGUCCUUUCACAGCCUUUAAAGGCAAUAUUUCAAGGAAUAUUCUGUUAAAGCUAAAGCCCAUUUUCCAAUUCGACUAUGUAAAUAGAUUUAGAUAACAUAUAUUUUAUUACGUCGAAAUGGGAAGAAAUGUAUACAUCAACAAGCUUUAUAUAAUGCUUUAAUUUCAUACAAGAAAAAUAUACACAUAAACAUAGUUUUUCUAUAAUACUAUAUCUAGUUUCAGCAUUAUUUAGGAUUCUACUGAGAUAAUAGAUGGCUCUUUCGACGCCAUUCUCAUCUUCUUGACACAGCAUACUUCCUAGUGUUUUGUCUGAUGCCGAAAUGUACAAUCUCAUACUUCUUUUUCUACAAGGAGACAUUAGAAUUGGAGGACUAGUCAGGUAUUCCUUGAUUUUGUCAAAAGCAGCUUGUUGUUCUUGCCCUCAUGCAAAGUCUUCCUUCUUUAGUUGAAGUAGAGGAGAGAAAGCUUGCGUUUUUCCACUAAGGUUGGAGAUAAACCUUAUGAGAAAGUUGAUUUUUCCUAGCAGAGACUGCAGCCCCUUUUUCGUUGAUGGCGCUUUCGCCUCCAUUAUGGCUUUGGCUUUGUUUUCGUUUAUUUCGAUCCCCUUCUUGUGGACCACAAAACCUAAGAAAUCACCCGCCUGCACACCAAAAGCACAUUUAAGAGGAUUCAUUUUUAAACCAAACUUCCUCAUCCUUUCAAAGGAUUGUCGAAGAUGGUCUAUAUGACUUUUUCCUGAAACAGACUUGAUCACAAUAUCGUCAAUGUAUACUUGCAUGAAAGUUUCAAUAAAGUCAUGAAAAAUGGAAUUCAUAGCCCGUUAAGUGCCAGCAUUUUUUAACCCAAAGGGCAUUACUACCCAUUCGUACGUUCCUAUUGCUCCAGGACAACGGAAAGCUGUUUUAGGAACAUCUUCUUCAGCAAUAAAAAUUUGAUUAUAGCCAGAGUAUCCAUCUAGCAUACUUAAAUACUCGUGGCCUGCUGCAGAAUCUAUAAGCAUUUCUGCCACUGGCAUAGGAUAUUCAUCAUUUGGGGUAGCUGAAUUUAAGUCUCAGAAAUCAAUGCAUACCCUAAGUUUGCCAUUUUUCUUAAUUACAUGAACUAUAUUUGCAAUCCAUUCGACAUACCUGGUUGUGCGGAUGAACUUGCAUUUCAGAAGUCUUUCGACCUCUUCUUUUAUUUUCGACAGAAUCUCUGGUGCGAAGCGUCUUGGGGUCUGCUUUACUGGCUUCUUUCCUUCCAUUAUUGGCAGCUGCAAUUCGACCAAACUUCUAUCUAAUCCAGGCAUCUCGUCGUAAUCCCAUGCGAAGCAGUCUUUGAACUCUUUCAGCAAUUGGACUAUUUCGACUUUGAACUGGGGGUCCAUAUUUGCGCUUAUGUAGGUUAGUCUGCUUUCUGCCCCUAUUCCUAGAUUUAUUUCUUCUAAUGGAUCCUGCGCCACCAUCUUCACGUUAGCUGACACCAGAUCUUUUUCGAACCCCAGAGGUUCGUCGUCAUAAAUGGCGUCAAGCUUUUGGUGUUGCCAUUCGCCCAUUUGGUUAUUAUCAUAAUCUUCUGCAACGUCUCUUUGGGGACAUUGUUCGUUGGAAUCUUCUUUGUUGGCUUCGACAGCCAUAUAUUUUACUUCAGCCUCAAGGGCCUCUUUGAGUUUGUUUUCGGCUAUAUAAGCCGUAAUUCUUUCGAGCGCUGCUUCUUCACUCGUCAUCGUCAAAUUCGCUUCCCCAUCCUGUUGGCGCUAUAUGAGUAGUUCCCCACAUGUAAGAUUUGCCAAUUACUUCUUUGUCCCACUGAAAACCAUGUGUAGGAUGAAGGUACAUGGAGCAGUAGGCGUUGUUUGUUGCUUUUAGGUCGAAUUCGGUUGGGCUGCACGGAGGUAUGUGAGCCAGGUUCUUGUCGAAACUUUGACUGUUGACAUUGUUUACUUCUGUCAUGAAAUAGCUUUGAUCAGCCUUAAUGUUUUCGACAAUUCUGUCUGGCCUCCAAAUGGCUAUUCGCUGAUGCAUUGAAGAAGGUACGACUCCUACACCAUGAAUCCACUCCCUUCCAAGUAGUAGGUUGUAAUUCGCCCUUGAAGCAAUGACCAUGAACAUUGUUGGCCUUGUUAUGGUUCCAACAGUCAAAUUCACCUGGAUAACGCCCAUAGUGGUUCCUACUUUUCCUUCAUAGUUCGACAGCACCAUGUUGUGAGGUUUUGCGUCUGAAUCAUCCUUCCCAAUCUUCUUUAGCAUGAAAUGAGGCAUCAAAUUUACUGCUGCUCCGCCAUCUACCAGAAUCUUGUUUACACCAACAUUCUCCACCUUUCCUUUUAUGAACAAAGGCUUUAAAUGUGCCUUCAUGGAAUCAUCUGGCCUUUCGAAGAAAGCAUUCUGUUCUUCGACGCACCCAUUGUUCAUGACGUAGUAGCAAACGGGCCUGUGUACCAUUAUUUCCUCUUCCAUCUCAUCUUCCUUGUCUUCGACCUCCAUGAUUCUAUCAUAAUCUCUAGGGAGGACAGAAACCACAUUGCAGAUCACAUUAAAGGACGCUUCUGAGUCAGAUUCGAAGUUGUCAGUUAUUUCGUCGUCUUCUUGCAUCUUCUCUUUCGACACCACUGGUUCGACAAUGCUGUCAGGAUUGAUCUGGUGGGAAGUCUCCUUUCUGCUUACUAUCUGAACAUUGUUACUAGAUUCUGCUUUAUCUUUGCUGUCAGCAUCUUUUCCAUUCACGCUUUUUUCUGCAGCUUCUUUUUCUGCCCUCUUCUGCCUUUGGAAUCUUCUCCAUUGGGAUCUUGACAUAGGGUUUUUUCCUUUGUAGUUUUCUGAAGGAUAUGGUCUUGGCUUGUGCUUUUCCACUUCCUUCUUACCUUCCAUCGAAAUGCCUCUCUGAACUUCAAAAUUUCUCCAUUUUUUCUGUCCUUGAGCGUCUCUGAUGGGUUGAACCCAUUUGUCAUCCAUUGCUUUGUUGGAUGGUUUGUAAGUGCUAUGAUGUCUUUCUCCAUGCCUCCAUUGGUGAUGAUCACUUUUUCUUGGGUCAUAUCCUGUUGUCCCCCAGUUUUCUUUUCUCUUGGCUUUAUCCAACGCUUCCAGAUUUGUUGCUGCCUUGCUGUCGAAGAUUGCACUGCAACGUGGGCAUAACAUCACUUCAGUUCCCAUCUUUUGGCACCUCUUGAUGAAUUCCACUAGAUUUUCCUCUUCUUUAGGAUAUGCCAGCCUUUGGUACUCCUUUCGACGACGAUCCUCAUCCACUUCAACCUGGUUUCUCUGAGAUACUUCCACCAUAUUUACCCCAACAUUUCGUCCGUCAGCAAUGCUUAAUUCGUUCAUUUUUUUAAUGAGUCUUUCUUCUUCGACUUCGACACCUCUUGGUAUCUGGUCAAACUCCUUUUCUGGGCAGUAACACCAAGAUAUGUUCCUGGGACCAUGUUUGCAACAACACUUGUUCCAAUUUCUUUUGGGGUCCUCCAUUACCCUACGCAGGAUUUCACUGAUCACAAGCUUCAUAAGACCAUCCACGACUUCUGGUUUGAUUCUUGUGACUUCUUUACUGAAAGGUCCCAUAGUGUUGACGCAGUCUGCGACAUCACCUAACUUCAUUUGAUCAGGAUCAAGGCCUUCAGUAGCCUUGUUUUUACUAGUGAGGUCUUCAGUGACCUUCUUUUUGAUGAUAGGGAGAUUCUCAGUUGUCUCAAUUGUUUUUUCGUUGUUGCUUAAAGGUAAAUUCCCCCACCCUGUUGGCUGGAUUGCGUUGAUGUCGAUACGAGAACUUGCAGGCGCAGUGUAUUUCGCAAGAUAAUCGUACUUCACACUUGGCUGUCCCAAGCAAUCCCAAUUUGCUCCUUGUCGAACCAAAACACCUUCAGCAAUAUUGUCAUUGUCUUUUUUGUCGAAACCUUCAGUAGCUUCCAUCUUUUUCUGGUCGUCAAAGCCUUCAGUAACUUCAACUUUGUUCUGGUUUGUAAGAUCAUCAGCAAUCUCAACCAUGUUGAUAUUAGUGUCGAAACCUUCAGCAGCUUCCACCAUUUCAAAAUUGUCGUCAGGAGCAACUUCGACCUCUACCACAUUCACAAUGGAUGGUUCAGCAUAAUGGGCUUCGACUGGCUGCAUGGGGUUCGAAUCGAUCCUCAUCUGUUGUUUUGGCUUAUCACCAAACUUCAGCCUUCCAUCACGGAUAGCAUUUUGAACGAGAUCCCUGAAAAGGAAACAACGAGACGUUUUAUGGCCCAUAAAGUUAUGUUAUUUACAAAAACCUCUCUUUUUCUGUUGUUCCACAGACGGUUCUUUAGCGCCUGGCGGUUUUAUUAAUUGACCAUCUUUAACCAAUAAGUCAAAAAUCUCGUCACAUUUGGUGAUGUCGAAGGUAUAAGUUCUUUUAGGAAACUUAUCGUUGGUUUCGACUGGGUUUCCGUUCGACGGAGUUAAUACUUUACACGAAUAUGAUGGGCCUUGCUUUAGUUCUGCUAAGUCAAUCUCUUGUUUGUCGAAGUUACUUGAUUCGUUUUCGUCGUAUUCAUCAUCCUGACGUACCCCCACAUAGGCCACCCUUUCUUUUUUAUUUUUAUUUGCUCUAAAUUUUUCAUCCCUCAACCUUUCGACUUGUCUCACCCUAUCUGCUAAUUGCGCCAUAUCCCUUAAAUACUGAGUGUCUAGUUUCUUUCUUAUAGAAUAAUCUAGGCCCCCCGCGGCCAUUUCGACUAACUCAUGUUCUGGCACCUUAGUGAAACACCUGGCCUUUAGCAACCUGAACCUAUUUAAAUAAUCAUCUAUUGGUUCUGAGUACUUUCUCUUAACACUGGCUAAUUCCUUCAGACUUAUUUUGGUUUGUCCCAUGUAAAAUUGUUCAUGGAAUAACCUCUCUAAUUGGGUCCACGUAUACACUGAGUUUGCAGGCAAGGAUAUAAACCAAGUAAACGCGUUUUUCGUCAAUGAACUAGGAAAGUAUUUUAUUUUCAAAUUUUCAUUACGGGCUAUCUCUCCUGCUUCAAUCAGAUAACAUGCUACAUGUUUUAUGGUGGAUUCACUAGUAUCCCCUGAGAAUUUGGUGAAUUUAGGAACUUUCCAUCUUGGGGGUAAUUCUUCUUGCAGAAUAUAUUCCGACAGUGGGGAAGCGUAACUAGGCCUUUGUAAUCCUACGUUUACCCCGUUUUGUGCCAUUAUCGUCUCGACCAUGGCCGCUAAAUUGUUUUCGACAGGCAAGUUAUUAUACCGAAUUCGCUGUUGCAACACAGUAUCAGCGUCUUGACCUCUCUGGAUUACUAUCCUUCUAGGCUCUUAUGGGGUAGGGAUUUCGACACGAGGUUGUUCGACUACGUCCCCUUGGUUUCUGACGUUUGCGUGGGGAUUAUCUAAAGGAAUUUGAUUUAUUGUUCUUGGACCGCCACUACUGGGUCUUGAACCACUUGCUCUCUGUGUCGAUUUUGAGGGACCCCAAAAAAGUCAACGAUGUGCGUCAUUUGCGCUGCCAAUAAUUGGUUUGUUUGGGUGGUGUUUUGUAUUAGAGGAUUAAACACCGCCCCCAUUUGUUGUGUCAACAUUUGGACCAUAUCAUGAUUACUCUCGUCCAUUUGUUGUCCAAUUACUUGUGCAGAAUUAUUUGUUAUUGUCGGCAUGUAAAGUGGUUGUUGGUUCAGUCUACUCAUGUUCCCCCCAUAUCCUGACCCCUGUACUGGUGAAGACAUAUUGGCCAUAGAAUCAGAAUACAAUACCGGCGAAUUGUGUAAAUUUGUCAUUACCGAAGUUGGCAUUCCAAAUGGUUGCUCCCUACCAGGCAGGGGCAUGGUGAAAUUUGUCACAAAAGGCCUAGAAGUAUUCCCUAUAGGAGGGGGUGUCCCAACAGGCAUUUGUUGCGCCCUAAUGGACGAACUAGGCGCAUUUUGCGAUAUUGAAACCGUUGGUAUUGAUGGUGAAAUUUGUCACAAAAGGCCUAGAAGUAUUCCCUAUAGGAGGGGGUGUCCCAACAGGCAUUUGUUGCGCCCUAAUGGACGAACUAGGCGCAUUUUGCGAUAUUGAAACCGUUGGUAUUGACCCGGUUGACGAAGACACAGCCUUUGACACAGGGACUGAUCCUACAUUGCCUCUUGUCGAAGGGACAGGGUUGGAUACUGGGACGACUUCAUUUGGAUUAGAAUUAUUUGGAUUAUUUGGCUGACUUGCCAUUUUCCUUACUCUCGUUCGUUUAGGUCUUUCUUCGCCAGAUACGGCUAAUUUACCGCUUCUUAGUCACAUACAACGAAGAAGAAACCUUGAGUAGAGAUUAUUUAAGUUUUAGAUUUUUGCACUAGUCCCACUGGGCGUGCCAAUUUGUUCGCGGUUGAUUUUGGCGAACAACCUCUGGUUUUCCAAAAACUCGUCGAAUUGGGUUACUUGCAGGAUCAACCAUACAAAUCCUAGGACAUGUGCAAAUUUAAAUAACUUUGUAAAUCUCUAGAACGACCUUUGUAUCCUUUAUUUGGUUUACUAAGUCUUUCAUGACGAAAAAUAUUGACUAGAAGUGCGUAAGUAAAAGCAAAGUUAACAAGACUAAGAUAGAUGGCGAAAAAUAAAUAGCGAAGCAUAAAUUGUCGAAGAGUAAAUGCAAAGGGUAAAUGACUGAUAAAAGUAAAGGAACAUUGGUAAAGAACUUUGAAAUUUGUAAGAUAAAACUUUAAAGAAAUGGUGUUGUUCACACGUACAUGUUCCAGAUAUGACUCUUUUCUCUCACACAGGUACUUUGAGUAUUUUGCAGGAAUUUUGUACAAGUUUUUCACACACACUUUUUCUGAUAACAACUAUCCUAUUUAUAUACAAACAAAAUAACUGUUAUUAACGAAUAAAUCCUAAAACUAUGACAUUUGGCUCUUCUGCAUGACUUCCUUUCGCCAGGUGCUUCCACGCGUCUUCUGCCAAGCGUCAUAACUCUUUUGAAUUUAAAUUUAUGCUUUACGUCGAAAUGAUGCGUCUCUUCAGACUUGUCGAAUUUGUCGAAAUAUCAUAACAUCAUCUAUACUUGUCAAAGACGUCUUUUCAUCUGCAAACAUCUUCUCUUGUCGAAGUGUCGAACCAUCAAUCUGUCGAAGUGUCGAAAAACACUUAUCAACUAAACUGUUAAUUUCAUGGCAUCAUCUGUCGAAAGAACUAUUCUACAUACUAAUCUCAUGGCGUCAAAAACGCAUGUAUACACAUCGGAGACACGUGAAAGACAUCAUGAAUAUUAAAAAGAAACGAUGGUAACAAAAAUUUGUAGGUCACGUCUCCUACUCGCUUCAUAAUAUGAUAAGGACAAAUGAAAUAUGGUGUGAGCUUUCGAGAUUUCAAAGCUCGACCAACACCAGUUACCCGAGUAACUCGCAAAAAUAUAUGAUCUCCUUCUAGGAACUUAAGUGUUUUACUCCUUUUAUUAUGGUAGCUCUUCUAGAGACUCUGUGAAGCUUUCAUCUUCUAUUGGAUCAUCUUGAUCUUCUCUAAGGUUUAUUGCAUAUUCUUAGAUCCAAGCACAACACUUUCUCCAAAUUCAUACCAACACAAAGGAGUUAUACACCUCAUACCAUACAACCUCACGAACGAUGUCAUUCCACUACUAGAAUGAAAACUGUUGUUGUAGGUGAACUUAAUCAAUAACAAGUAGUUAUCCUUUGUACCUCCUUGAUCUAGCACACAAGCCCUCAACAGAUCUUCUAAGGAUUUGAUAAUCCUCUCUGUCUGACCGUCCGUUUGCGGAUGAUAAGCAAAACUCAACUGCAACUUAGUGGCCAACGCUUCCUGCAAUCUCGAAUCUUUAUCAAAAACAAUACUCGAAGGAAUAAUAUGCAAGCUAACAACCUUCUCAAUAUACAUUUCAACCAACUUCUGCAAUGAAUAGUUUAUCUUAAAAUAAGCCGAUUUAGUCAGUCUAUUAACUAUAACCCAGAUGGAAGCACAUUCUUUCAUUGUCUUUGGCAAGCUCAUCACAAAGUCCAUGGAAAUGUUAUCCCCUUUUCACUCAGCAAUGCUCAAUGUUUUCGUCAUACCCAACGACUUCUGAUGUUCAAUCUCCGACUUAUAACAAGUCAAACAAGCAUAAACAAACUUAACUACUUCCUUCUUCAUUCCUGGUCACCAAAACAUUUUCUUCAAGUCUUGAUACAUCUUAGUGGCACUGGGAUGAAUACUCAUACCACUCUCAAAACCUUCCUCAAGAAUUCUCUUCUUAAGUUCUGGUACAUAUGGUACACAAACCCUGUAUCUGAAUCUCAUCACACCAUUCUCGUUGAUUCUUACCUUGAUUGAUUAACACCAACCAGACGAGCAAUCCCAAGUCGAUUAUGCGACCUUCUCUGAUUUCUUCAAGGAUGCCAUUGGCCAGCUUUAAUGUACCCAACUUUACAUUGUUAGGAGUCUCUUCACACACCAAACUCAUGUCUCUGAAUUGCUUAACCAGUUCUAAUUCCCGAACCAUAAGCAUUGACAUAUGCAACAACUUUCUACUCAAUGCAUCAAUAUAACAUCGACUUUACCCGAAUGGUAACUCAAGCCAAAACCAUAAUCCUUCAAAAAUUCGAGCCACCUCAUUUGCCUCAUAUUUAUAUCUUUCCGAUCGAACAAGUAAUUCAAACUCUUGUGGUCACUGAAUACUUCAAAUCUGAAACCAAAGAGAUAAUGCCUCCAGAACUUAAACACAAAUUCCACGACUUCCAACUCUAGAUUAUGCAUUGAGUAAUUCCUCUCAUGAACUUUCAAUUGUCUAGACACAUAAGCCAUAACCUGACCAUUUGGCAUCAACACACCACUUAGACCCAUCUUCAAAGCAUCACAAUACACAACAAAAGAUUCACUCAGAUUCGGCAAAAUUAAAACUGAAGCAAACAUCAACAUCCUCUUGAGUUCCUGAAAACUCUCUUCACACUAAACAUCCCACACAUAAGCUUGACACUUUCGAGUCAACUGAGUCAAAAACCGUGUCAACUUCAAAAAUCCUUUAAUAAACCUUCUGUAAUAACCAGCCAAACCCAGGAAACUUCUAAUCUUAGUGACAGACUUCUGGGUCUUCCACCGUAACACAACAUCAACCUUCGAUGAUCGACAAUAAUACCACCACUAGAAAUUGCAUGCCCAAGAAAACUCACUUCACUCAACUAGAACUCACACUUGGAUAUCGUUGCAUACAACUUAUUUUCUUUCAAGUCUGUAUCACAACCUUCAGAUGCUCCGCAUGCUCUUCAUCAAAACUUAGAAUAUACAAAAAUAUCAUCGAUGAACACUACCACAAACUGAUCUAGAUAAGGAUGGAAAAUCCUACUCAUAUAUUCCAUAAACACACCAAGCGCAUUAGACACCUUAAACGGCAUCACAGAAUACUCAUGGUAACCAUAUCUCAUUUUGAAUGCAGUAUUUAGAAUGUCUUUGAACUUCACACGAAUCUGAUGAUAACUUAAAUGCAAAUCAGUCUAACUGAACACACUAGCACCAAACUGUCAUACUCCAAAAUUGUCCCUACUUCUUUAACUUUUUAUUUGGCUCAUGGCUCAUUUCAUCUGCAUAUUCAUAUAACAUAAUCAUCCAUCAUAAUACAUUCAUCUAUAGUUGCAUUUUUCAAAUAACCAAUCAUUUGAUUCAAAGGUUUCUUGCUAUUUAGGAUACAAGGCAUUGAGGUAUGAUUUGCAAGUUUAUGGUCAUGAUGCUUCAUCUUGACAUUUUGGACUGUGGAUACAAUAAAUUGGUGAUUGAUCUUGGUUCUUGAGUUAAGUUCUCAUGAGAACCCUAAUCCUUGGUGUUGGAGGUGUGGUCAUAUUAGUUACACCUUGACAUUGAGAUUUGGGUUUAUAAUCUUACUUAGUGAUCACCUUUGAGUGAUGUUUGAUUCAAUACACGGUCAUUUUAUUAAAAUAUUCAAGAUUAAUUCAGAGUCAAGUGCAAGAGUUCAAGAUUCAAAUGUUCAGAUAAAUUCAAUUUUGGAGGGAAACUAUGAAGCGCACACACACAUUUCAUUUCAAAAGAGAAGUCAUUUGUCAUUACAAAAGCAUCCAAAUCAAAUUAUAAGACUAAUUACCUAAUUACAUCAUUUUUUCCGAGUGUUGACUUUUUGGUCAAACAGUUGACCAAAGACAAUAACUACUCCUAAGCACUAGUCCCAUUUAUCACCAUUAUACAUUAACAUUUUAACACUCACUUACUAACUAAUCUUUUACUCCUAGCAAUGCAAAUAGCCACUAACUAAUUUUCAUCACAGUAACUAAAUACUACACUAAUUGCUACAAUAAUUGUUUUUAAAUUCAAAUAAAGUCUAACUAAUCCAUUUCAUAACUAACCUAACUAACUUCUAAAUAAUCUAAAUAACCUGUAAAUCAACUUAUUAACAUAAUUGUUAUCAAUUCAAAUGUCUUUACAAAUUCUAGCAAAUUCCAAUUAACCAACUAUUCCACUUAACUAACCUACUGCAUACACAAUUAAAUCUAUCCAAUUUUUUCACAAGUAACUUCAAUACUAACAACUAACACUUAACUGAAACUAACAGAAUUUUAAAUCUGUUAAAUUCCUAAAAAAAAUCCUCUUCAGUCAUUAACAAUUAACCUUGCCCUAACACAUAACUAUCAAUGCCCGAAUUUCUGCCCAAAAUAAUUGCAAGAUUUCUCUAUAAAUCAGUUCAUCUCUUCAACAAUCAAAAAGGAUGAUUCUAUCUCAAUCACUCUCAAUUCUCUCUGAUUCUCACUCCAUAAGUUUCUUCCACUACUCUCAAUCCAUUCUCUCUGAAGCUCUUUCUCUCUCUCUCUGCAAUAUCACACACAUACAGAGCAAUGACCAUAGCAUAACCUAUAGACUAGGAAAAUUAGAGAAGAAGAAGAAGAGGAUCAUUGCAAUAACUAAGAAGUAGAUAUUCAGAGAAUUACCUGUUGUGUCUAUAGUAUUUUCUUGAUCCAUUUGAAUCGGCCUCAAGAUUGAAUGAACUCUCCAUUUUGUAGGUCCGUUGCUCCCUUGAAAUUCAUCAUCUUCGUUCAUAAUUUGUUUCCACAGUGUAGCCUGAUAGCAAAGAGACCAAACCCCUAAGGUUUGGAUUCCUCUUAGAGUUCCCUUCACAUUUAAUUUCGGAUUUUACUUUUAGGGUUCAUAGAAUUUUAUAUUUGAUUUGGAAUAUGGGCUAGGAAUUAAGGAAAACAGGUUGUAGAUUGUGAGAGAGGGAAUCAAGACGAGCAAAUUGAUGUAUGUUUGGGAGCAUUUGGACCUCCUCCACCACCGGAGGCGAUUUCCGGUGUGGCGAGGUUUUGGUCUCUGAUGACGUGGAUGGAACAAGGUUUAUGGACGUGAAUUGAAUGAGAAAUAUGAAAUGAGCUUUCUGAUCCCUUCACCCUCACUUGGCUUCAUGUUUUGGUCUCAAAUCCCGUAGUCCAUUAUAUCUUCUUGCUACACCCCACGUCAAGCUUCACACCCCCUUCUGGAUAACCUUGCAACAAUUCUUUGGGCUUUCUGUUAAGCCCACGUUGCAUUUUCUAUACAUACACCAUUUACACACUGCACCCACUGCCUCUAGUUUUUCUCUUUUUCAUUUGUUUUGUUUUAUAUUUUUAUGUUGUUUUGUCACUUUUCUGUGCAGAUUUUAGCUCAUUUAAUUCUUUUUGAUAUAUUUCAUUUUAAUAUCAAAAACACUUAUAUAUUUUAAUAAUAGUUCUUAGAGAUUAAUUGAAUUUAAUCCACCUCUUGAAAGAUAAAUAGAUAAUCAUGAUGAUUCACAUUAGAUUCUAAUUAGCAAUAAUCAUUAGUUUUAGAAUUUAUUUUUAAUUUAUAUUUUUAGAAAUUAAUACAUAUGUUAAUAUUAGAUUUAGAUUAGCAUUUAAUUAUCUAGUAUUAAUUUUAGAAAUUAGUAUGCAUGUUAUCUUUUAAUUUCUUUAUGAUUCUAGUCCUUAAUCAUAAAUCCAUGUGCUUGUGAAUCAUAUCUUGAUCAUGUCCCUAGGUGAUUGAUUGAUCAAUGUCAAUUUUGAUUAAUUAAUCACUUCACAUUUACCCACUUCUGUAACACCCCGAUAAAAUAAGGCUAAUUAUUUUAAUUGAAUUAAUAUAAUAUUUAUUAAUUUAAUUAAUUAAUUGGAAAUAUUAUUGGAUUAUUAUUAUUAUUAUUUUGGAAAAUAUAUAAGUGGGNNNNNNNNNNNNNNNNNNNNNNNNNNNNNNNNNNNNNNNNNNNNNNNNNNNNNNNNNNNNNNNNNNNNNNNNNNNNNNNNNNNNNNNNNNNNNNNNNNNNNNNNNNNNNNNNNNNNNNNNNNNNNNNNNNNNNNNNNNNNNNNNNNNNNNNNNNNNNNNNNNNNNNNNNNNNNNNNNNNNNNAGACAUAAGCGGUUUUUCACAUGCAAAUUGAGAAAAUAACCACGAAUCAAUAGUAAUGCAACCUGUUUGCACGAAUUGCAACCUUGAGAUGCGAGCCGGAUUUGAGUGGGGCGGCGUAGCUUCGGGCGGGGAAGCGGCCUUCAGGGUUUCUUCACUCGAACUCUCUAAAGUAGCCUCCAGGGUUUCCGUGCAGGGUUUCGUCCGUCUUCCUCUGAUUUUUUCCUCCUCUUUUCUUAUGAAGUCAGCUUGGUAUGUAUAAUGUCUUUUUCAUGACUAAUGGGGGCUCAGAAUGAAGCCCGCAAAUUUCUGUUGCUCUGUCAAGCUUCCGUAGGCGAGCUAGGUAGCGAACGCGUAGCGAACCGUUCGCUAGCGAGCGUUUUGUAGUUGUAACACCCCAAAUAAAGUAAAAGAAUUAUUUAAUUAAGUUGAUAAUAUUAUUUUAUUAAUUUAAUUAAAUAAAAUGGAAUUAUUGGAUUAUUAUUAUUAUUAUUAUUAUUUUGGAAAAUAUAUAAGUUGGAAGUAAGAGAAAGAGUCUCAUUGUGGGGAACAGAAAAGUGUUACGUGAAAGAGCAGAAGCAUCGUGAAAGUGGAAAAGAGGCAAAAGGGAAGAGCAAGAGCAGAGGUUGAAGAACGGAAAGGAUUGAAGCUCAAAGAUUGCCGGAUUAUCUCAGGUAAGGGGUCUGAAUCUUAUUAAACGAUAAUAUGCGAGCAAUUUCAUGUAUAUGUUGGAUUGUUGAUGGAUUUUGAGGAUGUUAGGGGAAUUGGGAAAGUUGGGAUUUUGAUGGGAAAUCACGUCGGAUGAAACUGUGUUUAGACUGUAAUUGAAUAUAUGUUUAGGUUAGUUAUGAAUUUCCGAACAUAUAGCUUUUUACGGAAGUUGAAUCGGAGGUCCGGAAGUCCUCCAACGGCGGAAAAUGCGGAGCACGCAGAUUCUGCCUUGGUUAGCGGCAGGUACUCUGUUUUGCCUGCGUUAACCGGUUAACCCAGGGCGUUAACCGGUUAACGCUGUUGCGUUUUGCCAGAAGAGGUAUUUUUCCUGCGUUAACCGAUUAACCUAUAGCGUUAACCGGUUAACACUGUUGCAGGGUGUAAAAAUUGUUAGAUUUUACGUUGUGAACCCAAUUGUGAGUGGCCUAUUGUAGUUAAUUAUGAUGAGUAAUUUUGUUGAGUUGUAUGUCGUGCUAUUAAUGAUGAUAAUACCAUGACUAUAUGAUGUUGUUGUUGCUAUGCUGAUUAUGAGGCAUGUUUGGUGUGCAUGCAUUCAUGAAAGGCCGAUGCCUAGUGAUGAACGGACUGAGUUCCAAUGAUGUUGUUGACUCCGGGCUUGUUGAGAGGCUUGGUUCCUUACGGGAACUCGGAUUCUAUGGUGAUGAAUCUGGGAGUGGUGAUCCUGUGGUUGGUCACCAAAUGGGUAUACCGAGUCGUGUUGAGUCAUGCAUGGGUGUGUGCAUUGCAAUGGAUGUGUUGUUUUGUUGAUGUUCAUGAGUUGUUGAUUAUGAUGAUGAUUAUAAGCUGUGUUGGCAUAUGUGAAAUAUAUAAUUAUGUUUAUAUUUCUGUCGUUAUAUUAUUAUUUAAUAAUGUAAUUCUCACCCCUUCUGCAUGUGUUUAUGNUGGUUAUGCAGCAAUGUAUGAAAGGUUUUUCAAGAACUUUUGGAAUUAACUUUACGUAAACAACAAACAAACGGAACAGACAUUUUUUCUGUCUUUUUUUUUUUUUUUUACAAAAGAGCAAACGUAAUAUCCUAACUCCUCGAAAUGUAUUACAAUGCAUGAUGUUAUGAUGAUGAUGAUGUUAGAUGUUAAGCGUAAAUAGACAACCACAGAGCAAGUCACACAACCAUCAUUACUGGAGGUUUAAGGCUUCAUGAUUCAUAGGUAAGGACUCCCCACUGAGGGUUGUUCAACCUGUCCUAGAAUAGUACCGGGUUCUAAAAGACCGCAAUCAUCGACGAUCUUCCUUUAAGCUCACUUCAGUGCAACCACGAAGUGUGAACGCCGAGCUUCACUAAAGUCCAAUCGUCAGGAGGUAAGUAUCCGAAGCGUCAACCAAGCCAUCGUAGUCGAACCGAAGUCAGGAUUAGCUCCUAGCUUCUAAUGCCAGGAUGAGUCAAUUAGGGUUCUAAGGUCUGUCAUGCCUUGAUGACAACACGGAGCCACAUUUCCGUCCAAAUAACAUGAGGACAUUCAGGACACCACAGCAAAGUGUCACUAACCGUGAGCCAUCAUUUUAACCAUUCCGAUACGCCGGAUAGCGCGAGCAAGAUCUAAGCAUUGGCUAGCGUUACCUUAAGGUACACUAGACGGGUGUAGGAUCUUGCAACUGAUUCAAGAUUGAGCUCCCCCAAGCAAUCGCCUUAAAAGUAAAUCAAACAUCAAAAAGUUGAUCUGUUGGUAAGACGCUCUCUUUUGAAGGUCGCCGUGCAGGAAGUACGGGCAGUUCUGCAUGCGUGAACUGACUUCGGGGUUUGCUCUUUAUUGCAUGUCAGCGGAACAAGUAGAGUCGCCACCAGGAAGAAGGACAUUUCUUUCUUAUACCAAUAAGGAAAGGUGGAAGAACGGAAAGCAGUCAUAGACUUUUGGGUUCGAGUAAACAUUCUACAAGGGAAAGGGUGUUAGCACGCUAGUUGUUCCCAGGUUAGCCAGGACUCUUAAUUCAGCUCGGACGAGGAUCAACUAUUAUAUGGUGUUCUCAAAACGGCUGUCGCGGAAUUGCGUAUAAGAAAAAUUUUGACAAGAGAGUUGAACUUUGGAAUGAGUCUCGUCAGAAUUGUACAAAGAUUAUCUCAUUUGAUUUUGAAAAAUGGUUUAGAAAAAUAUAACUCGGUAAUGACUUGCACCAGUGAAUGAAUGUAUAACGAAGUGGUGAUUUUCGUAGAUUUGUAAAGUGUAAAGUGUGAGGGUGAUUUUUAGGUUAUGAUCCGAGUUAAUUGAGAAGUUAUACCUCCUCGAGGUACGUAAGUUGUGGACAAAUUAUGCAAUGAACGGCACAGUACGAGUGCGAGGAUGUAAACAACCUGGCCGUAAGACAUUAUGAGGAGAAUGGAAAGGGAAUCUACCGCUUUGAUGUCUUAAGGGUCACCGUAGAUCAUCCGGAUAGUCAGAUGUGUGCAGGCAACAAGUCACUUAUAACGGAUGGCAGCGUUGAGCAGAUGUCGAAGAGGGAACAGGGAUCAUGGGAGAGAGCACACUAGCAGCUGGCCGAGAAGGUCUCGAGAAGGACAUGAAAAGUCCGAAAAUAUUGAAAGCACAUCCGAGGAGCGGGAAGGCCACUGAUGCUUAGGUAGUUAAGGACUAGAAUUAACGGCGAAGGGCGAGAGGCGGGGGCGAGGUCGCGUGAAGGGUAUCCAACACAUGGUGCAGCGGGCGCGGGAGGAGAGGGACAGACCGUAGGUACAGGCGAGGACAGGAAUAGAGCGAAGGGGCAGGAGCCCGGAGUAGUCAGUGAAGGGCCAGGGCCAAAGGAGAGGGUCGAAGAUCGAAUUAGUUUGAAGGAUCAUAUUUAAGUGCUACAAUUAAUCAUUAAGUCCAUACUGAAAGAGCAAGCUACCAUUAAAAUUAAUAAUUAAAAAGUAGACGACAUAAAAUUAAUUAAGACAAUUUAGGGUGAGUCUCCCCAAGGGUAUCCUACAAAUAAGGGAAGACCUAAAACGUCGAUCUUUUCUGGGCACGUAGAACUUGCAAAUUCAACAAACGGUUAGCAUAUCCGAAAUCCGGCGGUGCAAUAGAGAUGACACCGGAAAAGAAAAACAGCAACAGAGAAAACAAGUGUAUAACCAUAACUGAUAGAACGACAGUAUACGCAAAGAAAUAACAAACAAAACACAAAAGAAAAUAAAAACCAAAAUAUUGGCCGCGCUUUCGCCUCUGACUCUUCGCCUAGCGAAGUCGAGCGCAACGGACAUCGCGGCGUGCGCGCUUAGCGAUGUCGCUGAGGAGCGCCUGCGUUAUUGAAUUCAUGAACAGUAACUCAACCUGCGGCAAUGCUUUAUGCUCCACACAUAUUAUAUAGGUCAGCAUUCAGCAAAUCAGAGCACACUAAAUUCACAUGCAAACCUCAAUAUGUGUUAUGAUUCAUUAUAUUUCCCAUGGCAAGUUAUAGACUUCACAACCCUCUACGCCAACGACAUAUUUAAAUAACUAUCGAGUACCAGUAAAGAGUACACUUGUCUUACAAGCAUACAAGUAACGCAUCAAAACAUCAAAACAUAGAAACAUAUUAUUAAUAUAAUUUAAAACGUUCGCAGCGGACAACAGACAUAUAUUAGUUCGCCAUAUAUAAUUCACAUAGAAAAGUAUCAACUCAUACAUCUCAACAAUAAACAUCGCUCAACAUUAAUCACUCAUAUAACGUAAUAAUAUAUAUCUACGACUCCUAACCCCGUGUCACAUACCGAGAGCAAAAAUAAAAAAAAAACCCCUGGGACCGGCACACACACCACGGGCGGGCCGGACGCCGCGCGGCAGCAUGUUCGCCGCUACACCCCAGGUGUGCAUCGUGUUAGUGUUUCGGGUCGUGGGCGGGGGGGGGGGGGCGGGGGGGGGGGGGCGGGAAAAAACCGACCACCCCAGCCGCCCCCCCCGCCCCUUGGGUUGAGGCGGCCGCCCGCGCCGCGCCGCCCCCGACCGUAGAAUAACUCACGUUAUCUUCAACCCCACAAAGCCUACUCCCGCUUUAUCGCACAUUGGCUCAUGCAAAUGACAGAACACAUCAGAAGGUGAGAAAUUAAUUAAUAAUAUGUUUUCUGUGGUGAUGCGAUAAUUGUUAUGUUGUAAGAAAUGUAAACUCUUCUACAUGUUGUACUCUGAUAAAUUAAUUAAAUAUGUCGUCUGGGUAGAAGGGUGUUACAACUUCCAUAUUCAGUCAAGUGAUCAUAAGUUCUUUUAUCACUUGACUGGAUUAGACAUCUAUACUUACACCAUACUAGAUUCAAGUCUCACUUCAACUCAAGACAUCAUGCAAGACUCUGAAGACUCUAGACAUCAAGCACAACAAAAAUAUUCAUCUUCAACACAUAUCAGUCAUGAUGUGAAUUGUGCACCACAAGCCUUAAGCAAUGGAGAAGAAUGAGAUGGAUUGUUCCUAUCCUCGUUCAGAGUAUCUUUGGGUACAGGGCGUAAGACCUAGUUAUUCAAAGUAUUCACCUCUGUUCAUAGACUUUAGUGCAAUUCAAAUCAAAUUACUUUCAAGUAUUCUUCCUCACAUACCACACAACAACAAUGAACAUCUAUAAUGCUUGACUCUUUGGACAAAACACAACAUUCUUUUUGACAUUCAUGCAUUCUUUAGGUUAAGCACCUUAUGGUCAAACACCCAUCUCUGGACUAAUUCCCUUCUCAUGCAUUGCCCUGUAGAGCUCUGUGCUCUAGAAACCCUCAUGCACUUCCCUGCGAGCUCCGGGUUCGAUCUGUCCCUUUUAUUUUAUUUUGCCCAGUGGAGCUCCAUGCUCCGACAACUCAUGCAUGCCCUGUGAGCUUCGUGCUCAGGCAAAUCAUUCAUGCCAUGUAAGUUAUGCGCUUAGGCCACCUCAUUUCUUCCUUAUGAGUUUCGUGCUCAAGAAAAUCCCCUUUUGUAGGUCUUGAUCUCUGGAUCUAAGCAAAAUCCUACAAUUCUGCAUUGGCCACACCAUUUACUGAUUAGCGCCACAUUCUUUGGUUCAGACACACCUACCUAUGGGUUCAAACAACAUAAUCCUGGUCCAAACAAUACUUUCACCAUAACACUUUCCUCAUUUUCCUACUCUUCUUAUGCACUUCAAACAACAUUUUUUUCAAUUUUAAGCAAUUUAUUUUUUAGUUCAAGUCAAAUAACUCUUUCUUUUUCUUUUAUCAUACAAACCUUUUUCAAAACAAUUUUCUUUCUUUUCAUAAAAGAACUGUUAUAAUUCGUUCCUUAACAGUCAGGCUAAAAGGUUAGAGCAUUCGAACAAGGAUCAGAAUCAACUGACAUCUACACACUUGUAGGAUACAAUUACAAUUGUUCCCUAAAAUCAACCAACACAUUUGUAUUUUCUACCACGAACUGCGGAGCUCUGAUUUUCUCAUUGAACUAUGAGAAUACGUAGGCACAAGGGUUCGAAUCCUUAGCGAGCACACUAAUUAAGAAACUUAUUUUUUUUCCUUUUUAUCAUUUUCAAAUAACCUUUAAAUAGUAACACACAUUCACAUAAAUAACAAUAAAAAUGAUUCCCCCGUUGAGUACAACGGAUGUGAGAGAUGCUAAUACCUUCCCCUUACAUAACCGACUUCCUUACACAUUUCUUUUCCCUUGGGUUUUAUCAAUAUUUUUCCUUUCCUUUGGGAAUAAAUAAAAUUUGGUGGUGACUCUAGUGUAUCUUCGAGUGUGCAAUGCACUCAGGUAUUUUCCACGGCGUGAUAGCUGACGACUAUGUUGGGGAAUCCAUAAGCAUGUUAAGCCUAGUUUUAUUUAUUUCCUCUUUUGUUUUGGUUUUUAUCUUUAUUGUUUUACUUGCUUUAUCAUUAUUUCAAUUAUCGCAUCUUUAUUAAUUUAAAUAUUCAUUAUAUACUGGAUAUCUGUAUAUUCUCUGUUAUAGGUUGGGAUGACGUUACAUGAGAGAAAAGCUUUAUACUCGAGCUUGAGUACACACACAUGAUAGUAUGUGGCAAGAGUCAUGUUGACCUACUUGGUGUUAUGCCUCGAUCAGGGUCAACAUGAGACGCCACACCUAGAGUAGAUCCUUUUGGGAGCACCACUUUCCAAUGAGUCAUUCGUCUGAGGCAGUGGUAUCUCAAAAUAGGCUUAUGACUCUAGGGACCUUUUUUAGGAACCUCUUUCUUUAAACACUAGUACCUACCUGUGAGGGGAUAUUGAGCUUUUGCAGGAAACCAAUACCCUACAUACCUUUAUCAUCAUGUAUUCGCCGAACCUUUCAACCUACAUCGAGAAGUAUAGACAGAUUAUAUAGAAUAUGAUGAACUUGUGAAUCAAUGGAUAUUGUAGUUUACUUCUUUGCAAUGUUUGCUCAUUUAUCUUUAUUGCUUUACUUACCUUUAUUUCAUCUAUUGCAUCUUUAUUGUUUUAUAUUCUGGACCUCUGAUAUAUUUUCUCCAUUACGGGUUAGGCUUUGUGAUUUGAGAGAAGCUCUACACCCGAGCUUGAGUAUUCACACAUGAUAAAAUCAUGGAUAAUCGUGUUGACCUGCAUUUCGCGCGCUGGGUUGGCACGAGACUCACACCCAAACUAGAUUCAUUUGGAAGUACCAUUGUCCGACAAGAAUUUGCUAUGGCAAGGUAUUUUCAUUUGGAUCCAUGACUCUGGGAAACCUUUUAGGGACCACCUUUGAAGAUUAUAACCCACCUGUGAGGGGAUAUGGGAUUUUUUGUAGGAAAACAUAAGCUUUGUAUUCCUCGAGAAUCAUAAAUGCGUCGAACCUUUGAACCUGCAUUAAGAAUUGUAUAAAUAUUAUCUUGGAUGUGUUGAACUGUUAACCUAUAUUAUCAUAUACCAUUGUGGCAUCAUCGUGUAUAUACCGAAAUUUUGAACUUAAAUUAUUGCACCAUCAAACCUUUGAAUCAGUGGAUGCUGCAUAUCUCUUUGCAUUUCAUAAACACCAUAUGCAUACAUUCAUGCAUACAAACCAGAAAAAGCUCACAUUUUUUCUUGCUCAUCCAGAAGAUGAAGAUUCCCGACGUGGAUCGCUAAAGAAUCAUGGAAAGGUGGAGCAUGGGGAUGCAAUAUGCAAGGAGAGCUUGGAUCACACCCAAGGCAAGGUUGAUAUGAUCUUGGAACUAUUCCUGGACAGUAUAACAAUGAACUUCUCAGAUCAAGUUGUGAUUGGUAAACAAACUGAGAAUGGGUUAAAUAUGGAUAAAAUCUAGAAUGUAACUGCAGGAAGUAUUCUGAUUUAUCCCCAUGAGCAGUAUCUCCUACCGAAUCAGAAGCCCAUUCAAGGAAAUAAAAAACAGAAGCAGAAGAAAAAUAACCAAGAAAACAAAUGAUCAAGGGAGGAUACGUCCUCGCUUUGAUUCGAUUCCAAUGCCUUAUACACAUCUACUUCCUAUCCUAAUUCAUGAUGGGGCAAUUGUGUUGGUGUAAGCCCUAGAGGCCAAUACUUUUGGUACUUGUAUCGAAUUAUUUAUUAAUAAUAAAAGGAUUUUUCUUUAUUAUGUUUGUUUAAUAAAGUCCCUAGAAUAGAUAGUCCGUUUAAUGUUAUUAAGUGUGACUCCUAAUCAUGAGAUUUUCACAUUAAUAGCAUAAGGAACACUAUUCUUAAAGGUAUCCAUUAGGUCGAGCUUUAUUGUGAAGUGGAUAACAUUAAAAGUCAUUAAGACUAUUAUGUAUAUAGCAUGAUCACAUCUAAUGGAUAUGGAUAAGAGUUAUCGAGUCUGUAAACAAGGUAUGAAUAUUAAGAGUAAUAUUUAUACUGGAUUGACCCGCUAUGAGAAUACUAUAUAGAAUGUUAUGCAAAGUGUCAUAAGUUAUUCUCAUGGUGGUAAUGGUGUAUACCACCCUUCAACCUGAAACCACUAUGGACCCUAGAUGUAGAGUCGAGUGCCUUAUUGCUGAUCAAACAUUGUCCGUAACUGGAUGACCAUAAAGAUAGUUGAUGGAUACUCCACGAAGCGUGCUAAGGGACAUGAGUGACCUAGAUGGAAUUUGCCCAUCCUGCGUAACAGGAUAAAUGUCUAUGGGCCGAAUAUUGAACUGGACAAGGAUGACACAGUCUAUGCCUUGUGUUCAAUAUAGACAUAAGGGCAAAAGGGUAAUUGUACAUAUAAGUAUUAUCACAAAAGGAUUUGUCAGAUCACAUGACAUUUUCGUGUCUUAGGUAGCAGUAAUGUGUUGCUAGAUACCGCUCACUGUUUAUUAUGUUAAAUACGUGAUUUAAUAUAAUUGUCAAUGCCGCAAAAACCUACAGGGUCACACACAAAAGGACGAAUUGAUGAGAGAUAGAGUAACUAAGGAAUACCGUAAUGUACGGCGCCCUUAAGUGAAUUGUAGAACAUCGUAAGGUACAAUGUACUUAAGUAGAAUACGAAAUAUGGUAAGGUACCACGCGCUUAAGUGAUUUUGGCAUAUUAUAAGAUAUGGGCCACAUACACUUAAGUGGACUUUUUAGCUUGCAGCCCACACAAGUGGGUCUAUAAAUAGAACCCUUAUGUAGAAGCAUUUGUGCAGUUGCAAUUUCGUUUCUCUCUCUCUCUCUCUCUCUUUCUCUCUCUCCCUCUCUCUCUCACUCAAAGCCUUCAUUCGUAGCAGCUAGCACUGAGAUUGAAGGAAUCUGUUCGUGUGGACUGAGUCGAGGCGUUGUCAUCAUUCAACAUUCGUGAUCGCUCUGUAGAUUUGCAUCAAAGGUUACAAUCACCACAAGAGGUAACGAUUCUAUCACUGAUCAUGCCCAUUCGUAAGGAUCACUAAAGGAGAAAUUUUAAAUUCCGUUGCAUUUUGGAUCGCCCUUCUCCUUCAAAUUGUGCCUGAGGAGAUCGAGCCUGCCAGGUUUCCCUAUCAUCCUAAGCAUAAUCAUAAUUCCAUAUGCAAGUACCAUGCUGGAUACAUAAGGAAUUCUACAGAAGCUUGUUCAAGAGCUCCUUGAUAAUAAAUUGAUAUGCUUUAUAGAUAAGCCUUAACAAACCAUCCUCAAGAAUAUUCACCCUCAGUUUCAAGCGCCUAUUGUCGCCGCUUAGUAUCAACAACCUCUUCAGGCUCAGACUGCACAAAGCAAACGAAUUGCACAACAUAAUAGAAAUCAGGGUCAAGGACAACAGAGAUAGAGGAAACCAGAAAGAAGGAUAUAUCUAGUUCAUAUGCCUUACGGUCAGCUACUCCCUCAAUUUCUCAUUGGUUCAAUUAGGGGAACUAGGGCCCCCUCCAACACCUCUCCCUCCAGGUUGUAACAUGAAUGCUAGAUGUGAGUUCUACUCAGGGGUACCCGGGAACACAAUCUAGAAUUGAAUAUCCUUAAAGCACAAAUUAAAAGACCUGAUCAAUUCAAAGGUUAUCAUGUUCACGCUAAAUGGCCCAAACAUACUGAACAAUCACAUGCCUCUACAAGCAGGCACGUAUGCAAUUCCAUAAUCGGUACAACUUGAAUCAAGGAUAGAUCUAAAAAGGUUGCAUCUGUUGGAAGAGUAUGAAGGGGAACCAACUCUUGGACUAUCACGUCAACUUGCAUAAGCAUGAUGACCCCAACCUGUGGGUGGAAUAAGGCUAAUCACACUGAUGGUCAUUAGAUUCUUCAAUCAUUUUCAUUUGUAAUCAUUUUUGUUUGUUAAGUGCUAUUCACUUAUAAAACUUGUUUGUUUUCGAAUGAUAAUAAUAAUGAAAUGAAUAUGCAUAUUUCGAAUUAACCCAUUCGUGUUCGCUCAUAUUUUAUUCAUUAGUAUCAAACUCUUUUUAAAGAAAAAAUCAAAAGGAGAACGAUGAAGUCAAAAUAAACGAAACUACUGGUUGUCUUCUUUUGAAUAAAACCUUGAUGACGAUGUAAGGCUUUAUUUGAAAUCCCUAAACACCGGAGAUAUAAGAAAGAUAAUCCCUAGUCAACCCCUUUGGGGCCUAGUAGUAAGAGUUUCUUUUUUAUAUGCAAAAAUCAUCAAUCUUAAGCAGUGGCAGGGUAAUCUUCAGUUAAUUUGACCAUGUAUUUAAAUUUAUAAAAGAAAAAGGAAGUAUCCCAUCUAAGGAUCAACCACAUCUUAUCCCUAACGAGAGGUCGAAAACCACAAAUCCACAAUGGUUGUUCCUCACCAACAAAAGGAACAAGGCAUUCACAACCCUUUCAAUAAAUCAAACAAACAAAUGCCACACGAUUUGUUCCAGUAAAAUGAGAAAUGCAAAAAAAAAAUGCUAAGUCAAAAACUUGAAAACAAGUGACUCAGGCAAAAAUUAGGGCAUCACAGUGGACUGCAAACUCGAAAAAUUAGUCCAAGCAAAAGUUAGGGAAGGGAAAAACAAAAGUGAAAAAGAAAGGAUCAAACGAAAAUAUCCUCAACAAGUGAAAAUUCGUGUGACUACAAACGAAAAACAAAAGGUGGGUGACUGUCACUCUAAAGAUUUCAUUGGUUCCUUAACCAUCACUUAUACUACUCAAGACCCUUUUGAAAAAAGAACACUUGUGUUGAACUAGCUGAAUGUAGGACUGGAUAACAUCAAGGAGAAUGGGUGGGUUAAAAUAAAAUUUUGAGCCAUAAAUCCUUUUAUUCUAAAACCGUGAACCAGACGAGGUUGCAACCCUUAAAAUACCUAAAUAAAGUCGAGUUUAUUUCGAAAGCAUACUACAGUAAGAUCACAUCUAAACUGACCCCUAAAGUUUUGCUUAUCAUUUGUGUUGGUCUCAAUAUGGAAUUCUAACUAGUGGUUCAUUCACUAUAUGUCAUCAUUUUAGUGAAAAACAUGGAUUUCAAAACUGACAUAAACAUAGCAAUAGAAUUAUCAUUUGCAAAGACAAACACUUUUAUUCAUGAUAAAGCACUUGACAUCAAGAAAGUUCCCAUGAUGGGAAGAAUGUCCACACUAAGGGAAAAACGCCUAAAAACUCUGUUGAGCAAAAGGGAAGGCCACUUCAAGAUUCAGUCGGUUAUCCAGGGGCAUUUCCUUAAAAGAUCAGCCAUCCAGGGGAGAAAUUACUUCAAGACUCAUACUGAGGCAGGCCACCUCAAGAGCACAAGAAGAUAACCACUCCAAGAGAUGUUUAAUUAGGGGCAUACAGUUUCAAAACACUAGGGCAAGUCAGAUCAAGAUCAUUUAUGACAAGACUACUUGUUAACUUGUGACUGGGGUAAUCGAUACAAAUACCCAACACACUAGGGCAAAGAUAGGCUCUGAAGGUACAAGUUUUCUCUAUACUGCAAGUCAAGUGCAAAGGUAUAUCAAUAGUCGUCGAGCCUAAGGUAGGUGUUGGAUUAUCCUAGCCUUAAAUCUUCCAUCUCCCGCCACAUGAGCAUCAAUAAUCGUCGAGCCUAAGGUAGGUGUCAGAUUAUCCUAGCCUUAAAUCUUCCAUCUCCCGCCACAUGAGCAUUUGGUAAACCAUUACACAAAUCAUCACCAUGCAUUAAUCAUGUCACUUCAAUCAUGCAUAUCAUUCAUCGUACGUAUCAUGAAGCCUUAUAAAACAAACAAAAAAAUCCAAAGCCCAAUCUUUAUUGGCACCUCCGAAACCCAAUCAUACUUGGCACCUCCUUAAAAGCCCAACUUUCUUGACAUCUCUCAAAUCCCAACUUGCUUGGCAUCUCUCAAAGCCCAACUUGUUUAGCAUCCCACAAAUCAUGACUAUAAUGGGAUUCUUCAUGUAGUAAUCAUCAUUACAUAGCAUUGCAUCUCUAAAAACGCGUAACAUAUCCAUCAAUAUGGAGCAUUACGCCAUAUAAAUUUAAACAUGCAUACAAAACAUAAGCCAUAUUCGACACCUUGCACGAAGAACCCAACAAUAAUGCAUCUCCGAGAAUAUUAUUCAGACAAAUUCGCAACUAAUAUUCCCAACUAAUUCUUCAAAGUCCAACUUCGGUUGACAACCUUUCAAAGCUCAGUUCCCGUAUGGCCAACAUUUCAAAACCCAGUUGUCAUCUGGCCAACAUUUCAAAAUCUAGUUCUCGUCAGGCCAAUCAUUUCAAAUUCAAGUUCUUGUAUGACCAAUAUUUCAAAAUCCAGUUCCCGUCUGACCAAUCAUUUCAAAAUCCAGUUCCUGUCUGGUAGCAAGUUCUCGUUUAACCAAUCAUUUCAAAAUCCAUUUCCCAUUUGGUAGCCAGUUCCCGUCUGGCAAAUAAUUUCAAAAUCCAUUUCCCAUUUGGUAGCCAGUUCCCGUCUGGCCAAUCAUUUCAAAAUCCAAUUCCCGUCUAUUAGUCAGUUCCCAUCUGGACAAUUAUUUUAAAAUACAAUUCCUAUAUGAUACCCAGUUCCUAUCUAGCCAAUCAUUUCAAAAUCCAUUUCUUAUUUGGCCAAUCAUUUCAAAAUCCAGUUCCCGUCUGGUAAAUCACUUCAAAAUCCAGUUCCUAUUUGUUAGUCAAUUCCCAUAUAGAAAAACAUUUCAAAGCUCAGUUCCCAUAUGGAAAAUCCUGGCAAAUUCUAGUUCUCGUCUGGAAAAUCAUUUCAAAGUCCAGUUCUCGUCUGGAAAAUCAUUUCAAAGCCCAGUUCCUGUCUGGAAAAUCAUUUCAAAACGCAGUUCCCGUCUGGAAAAUCAUUUUCAAGACCUUUUUCAAAUUUUAUCUACAGUCUUUAUGCUUGCCUUUUGCAAGUACACAAUUAAUCCCUUACCUUUGUGGAACCCCACGGGAAUAUCUCAACUGAUAAUACUUUCCAAAGCUCAUUAGUGGAGGAAAUACAGAAAUCAUCAUAAAAACUGAUACCUAUCUUUUCUCUUCGAAGUACAAAUUUUAUGGUUCAAUUAUUAGAAGUCAGAAAAUCGAAGUUUACCUAUCAUUUCUCCCAAAAAAUAAGAAAAACCUGCAUUAUUGCAUAGCAUAUGUAACUUCAUGCGUCAUGAAAAAUCAAUCAUACAUUGCAUAUAUCAUGCAUAUCAUAUCCCUAAUAUUUCCUUCUCUUGCGACUGAUUCAUUUCCCCGACAAAAUAUUUCAGUAAAUCCCCAGCAGAUGAACCUAUAAAAGUCAAUUGCCAAUCCAUAUCCCUAAUACAGUUAUCUUCCUUACAUUACAUCCACCUCAUUCUCAACGAACAAAUUUUUGGAUAUUCUUAUAUUUAAUCCACUUCUACCUUGGAUGCCCGAAAAGUUGUCGCCAUUCGUACAGUUAGGUCAAAGAUGAUUAAAUAAGGAUAUAUGUACCCAAAAAAUUUCCCUACUUUUUUCACUUUUCAUCUAGCCCAUGGCUCAUGUCAUCUACAUAUUCACAUUACCUAAUCAUCCAUCAUAAUAUAUUUAUUUAUAGUUGCAUUUUUCAAAUAACAUCAUUUGAUUCAAAGGUUUCUUGCUAUUUAAUAUACAAGGCAAUGAGGUAUGAUUUGCAAGCUUAUGGUCAUGAUGCUUCAUCUUGACAUUUUGGAUUGUGGAUACAACAAAUUGGUGAUUGAUCUUGAUUAUUGAGUUAAGUUCUCAUGAGAACCUAAUCUUUGGUGUUUGAGGCCUGAUCAUAUUGGUUACUGCUUGGCAUUGAGAUUUUGGUUUAAAAUCUUACUUAGUGAUCACCUUUGAGUGAUUUUUGAUUCAAGACAUGGUCAUUUUAUUCAAAUAGUCAAGAGUAAUUCAAAGUCAAGUGCAAGAGUUCAAGAUUCAAAUGUUCAGAUAAAUUCAAUUUUUAGAGGGAAACUAUGAAGCACACACAUAUUUCAUUUCAAAAGAGAAGCCAUUUGUCAUUACAAAAUCAUCCAAAUCAUAUUAUAAUACCAAUUACCAAAUUACAUCAUUUUUGCCGAGAGUUGACUUUUGGCUAACUGUUGGCUUUUUGGUCCAAAUAGUUGACCAAAGUCAACCACUACUCCUAAACACUAGUCCCAUUUUUCUUCAGUUACAAGUCUUCCUAUAUGUUUUUGUUGCCCCAAAGCAUCCAAGUUGCUCCAUGAAGGAACCUUGAGUCAUGAACAUUGUCAUGACCAUACUAGCCCCUUGACCAAUGCCAAGUCAUGACCAUACUAGCCCUG
rnacentral:lncRNA from 1 species